rnacentral:SRP_RNA from 1 species
GCAUGGCUAGUGUUGGGCGUUUGUUUUGUUUAGUUGGUCAGGUCUGAAAAGAAGCAGCCAGAGCAUUACUUAGCGGGUCAACGCUAGCUAUUAUUU